UGUGAUCAUUUUGGAAAUUAUAAUAAUUUUUUCAAUACUUUAGUUUAGAAGAAUUAUUAAUUUUUUCAUUACUUUAGUUUAGAAGAAUUAUGUGCAUUACGCAGAACAACUUCUCAACCUUUAAGACCUUUACCACCAGGCGGAGCUGUUGAAGCAUCUACAUAUAUAUCCCCGACAAAGCAAAUCAGAGAACGUACGAAACCUUUGAAGCCAAUUAGUCCUCUGAAUUCUCCUCUUCAAAAUCGUAAAAUCAAUUCGAAACAAAGUAUACCUGUUGCAGCAAGUAAAAGUACUUUGAAAAACUCUUCACCAAGUAAGCCUUCCAUGCCAAGAUGACUUGUUGUUUAGUUGGAGGUCUAACCACUGGAUUGAGAUAUGCUGGCAUAUUCAUACCAUCGCAUUCCGUGUUUUUGCUGAUGAAACACACUACUUGUGAUAAACUCUAUUAAUUAUUGUAUAGUGUUGAUUGUUAUUAGUUUUAUGAUAAUAACUGAGCUUCUUGUGCCUUUUUAUACGUUUUGAAAAAACAACAUUCCUAUUUGUAUAAAGCUUCAUUACUGAUGAGCUAAAAUGGAUGUUCUUAAAAUAUUAACUAACUAUCGUGAUUUUUAUGUGCAUUUUAUAAUUUUUUAAUAGUUAUAGUUGAUUAUCAUUGAUUGCUUUUUUUUUUAAAAAAAAAUACAAUACUGGCAUGAUCAUAAGUCUUAUUCAUUUUUUAAAAAAAUGCUUAAUUUUUAAAGGGUUUUAAUUUGUGUCCCUUGUUUCUGGAUAUUGAUUUUUGUAGUAGUAUUUAUCAGUCCAUUUAAAUUUAGUUUUAAUUAUGUUUUGAUUAUAAAAUUUUGAUUCAAGUAAUUUAAUUAUUGCUAUAGUUUAAAGUGUAUUUGUUGUGGUGGAUAUAUAUGGAGGGCUAAGAACAAUUUAGUGAUAAGCCACAUUUCAGCAUUAAACUGUUCCUUAGUAUUUUUUCCAGGUUAGUACUUUAUAAGUUCUUGGCAUUUUUUGCAAGUAAAGCGCAAUAUACAGAGACUUCUUAUUAACUAUGUGGGAUUUUUCAGGAAAACAUUUCUCAAAGCAAUUUGAAAGCGGGAUUUAUCAUUAUAUUUAAUCUUUGCCUUUUUUUAAAAUUUUAUUUCCUUAUUUUUUUGGACCUUUAUUUUGUUGAGUUAUUGUCUAUUGUUAUUGGGAACAAUUAAUAUAUUUUAUAAACUAUUGUAAGUUUUAAUUGUAAUUAUAGUUGAUUUAAUAAAUUUAAAUUAAAAGUGUCGAAAAUCUUUCAUGUAGAAAGUUUUAUAAACCUGUUUUUUUAUUCUAACGAGUAAUCCAUUAAUCACAAAUUUAAACUUUUAUUAAUAAUAUAGUUUUAUGCUGACAAUGAAUUGCUUUAUUUGUUUUUGAAAUAUUCACUUUUAGAAUUGUAGUAUUUUGUUUUUAAGAAAAAUAACACUAUCAUCACAAACAGUAAUGAUAAAAUCUAUAUUAAUAACUUUUUAAUGAAAUUAUUUUAAAGAUAGUUUUGCAAAACUGUUCUAAUUAAUUUGACACUUCAUUGUUUAUGCAACUAAGAAAUGUACUUAAGAUAUUAAAUUUUUAUUUAUUUUAUAAUCAUUUGUUAUAUUUGAACUGGUAGUACAAUAUUCAUUACGGAUUCAAUCAAAAUAAAUAUAGAGCUUAGACUUUUAUUAAAUGGCUUAUUCUGUUGUUUAGUUUUGUAGAUAGAUUUAACCCCUUCAGCACCUACAGAUGGAUAUAGGAACUAUUCACCAGGCUUGCAUAUUCCAAGUUGAUGCGACUAAAGAGCGCACAUUGAUACUAUUACAAAAAAUAAGAGAGUACUGUAGGUCUGGGUGAUCUUGCACUGCUAAAGUCAGAAAGACUAGUCUCCUCUAUGAUAUUGGGGGAAAUGAAGUGAGAAUCUCACGAUUCCGAAGGGGUUAAUAUGCAUCUGCUUCUCAUAAAUUUUUUGUAUUUAUUAAUUUUGUUCUAAUUUAUUUUAGUAUGUUGAAAAUUAAUAUAAUAUAUCAUAAUAUGUAGUAUAAAUUAUUAUGAUAUGUACCUAAAUAAUAUUACAGGUUAUUGAAAUAUCUAACUUUCGUAGUACCUCAAUUAUACGAUACAAUUGGGACCAGACCUGACAGAAAUGAUAAUACGUAUAUCCUACAACCUUUUUUUUACUGUUGGCAUUUUUUAGGUCAAUAUUUUCCAUUUUAUAAAGAUUUUAAGUUGAACUUAAAUUAUAAUUAUGCUAUAUAAAAGUAAAGCAUUCCUGCAACAGCCCAUUGUGGGCCAGAGGAGUCAUGGAGGCUAAGCUCUACAAUUUCGUGAGAGAUGCCAUGAUCAUGUCAGUGUGAUUAGCGUUGAAUGCAAGCUGCCUUACUUCCUAAACUGGCACCUAUUGUUCCUGUAAGAUGGUUUUCAGUAAUUUUUUGAAAGAAAAAUUGUGAUUUCUCAGGAAAACAUACAGUUUCAGUCUUAUUAAGCUAUUAAUUAAUUAAUCUGUUCUGCAAAAUUCUUAAUUUUCCCAAAUCCCAGUGUAUGAAGGUAUUAACUUACAAUAGUUGAAUGUUUUCGGAGUGGAAGAAGGUUCUAAGUGCAUCAAACAGUCCAUUAGCCUGUCUUGUAAAGUGGAAAGAGUUCAAUCACUGUGACGCAAAAAGUUUAAAUGAGUGUUAAAGAUUUAUUGAUUUACUCUAUAAGAAUUUUUAGCAAAAGUUCAGAAACCAUUUUAUUUAUUUUCUAUUGUCAAUUUUCAAAAUUAAAAGUUAAUUUGCAAUGCUAUUAUUUUUCUCUAUGCUAGCGGUUCAAUAGCAUAUGCAUGUCUGUUGGGCAGCAGAUGUUCUUUUUCUCUUUAGACUGUAUUUCAAUAUCUGUGCUUUCCAUAUGUUCAAUUAAAAUUUCCUGUUUUCUGUUGUUAUAGGAUAACUAGAUUUAGUUAAAUCUUUUUAUUCGCAUGGCCUUUAUGCUAAAUAACAUUUAUUUAUUAGUCGAUAUAUUAAUAGACUGUCCGUCAGUGAAGUGUAAAAAUCACUUAUAUUGCAAUUCAAUCAAAAUCCAUUCAACUUUUCAAUUCAGUACUUGCAAUACGAGAAGAAUUGAAGUGAUUAUAACCUAACCAUGUGAUUUAAAUCAGAUUUAAUUGGAUACCUGUAGACGGCAUCACACGUUGGUGUCGAACCUGAUUGGCUUCCAAAUCGAGCUAUGUGACGAUUUACCUAUGAUGAUGGCACUUGCAGGUGCCCAUUUAUUUAAAUAAAAAUAUUACUCGAAUGAAUAUUGUAACAACUGAUUAAGUUAUUACUUAUCAGAAACUUCAUUAAUUAUAUUGUGAACGCUGUGAAGCCUAUGUUCAUAGAGAAAAAAUAUUCUGGUAAAAAAAAAAAAAAACCUAAUUAUUCUAGUAUUUAAACUACUUCUUUGGUACCUUUUCUGUUCUGUUGAAUAAUGGCUUGACGGAAAUUCUGGUUUUCAAAAUUAUUGUUGCUAUUACCACUCAUUUAGUAAAAAAAUUCGAAACUGUAAAGUACGAAAUAAAUGGUUUUUAUGCCAUGUUCUAAUAUAUUAUGAUAAAAUUACUAAAUUUUAUCACAGAUUAUAAAACCAUAUUUUAUUGUUAAUUUUUCUAAAAUCCUAAUCAAAUUUGCUUGGAUAAAAAUCACUGAGAUUUUUGAUUUUUUUGAAAAAAAUUAUGAGUUACUUUUUUUUCAAAACUUUUCUUAAAUAAAUAUUGUACCCGUUAUUAGUGACAUAUAUUUUUUAUGUUUUAUUUGCAGUAAACAUAAUGUACGGCUUAAUAUCAGUUAAACUUAAUAUGAAAUAAAUAUUGAAAGCUGAAAGUGUUAUUGUUUUUAUAACAGGAGAUAAACUUAGACUAAGCAUUGUUUUUAAUUAUCUUUUUGCUAUGUAUAUACUUAUUUAAUUCGCAAAAGCUUUAGUAUUGUUUUAAUUCUAAAAUGUGUGAUAUUUGUCUGGGAAUUGCUGAAAAAAAAAAGCAUUGUUUCAAUUUUAACUAGUAGUUUGUUGAAGUUAUUCAUACUUUCUAAAUUCAUGGUGCUUAAUUAAGGCGUGAAUAUAAAAGAAUUUUGUAUUUGACAAUCAAUUAACUUUUUUUCUUCUUAAAACUUAAUUUGAAUAAUUAUUUUGAAUGAAAUGUGUUUAUGUUAUAAUGGCUAAGUUUGGAUACUCUGUGAAUAAGUUUGUUACUAAUGUUUUUUAGUUGUUGAUGUUUUAUAAAGAAUUUAAAUACGUUUCUUACAUGAAUAAAAUGUAUUUGUUUUAUGAA